AAAAAUCAUUGUCCAAAAAGGGUUAGACUUCUAUGCAAUUCAAUUUUGGACUGCACUAGUAUGAUCUAAGUAUUUUUGGUUCUGUUUCAGUCCAUUUUGAUGAUCUAAACUGUCAACUUAUAGAUCUCGUCGAUAACUUUAAUAUUAUAAAAAAUUAGGUUAAUUGGAUAGAUAAAUAGUCGAUGAAUAUCAAUUCAUAUCAAGAUAAAUGAGUAUAACAUGUGUGUAAAUAAACUCAAAAUAUUACAAUUCACAUAGCAGUCCAAACCUCUCUGUCCAUCGGAAGCUGGUGAAUGAUAUUCCUAGACAAGUUGGAAGACCCAAGUCAACUAUCAAUAAUGAAGCAAAUUGUUAUGGCCCAUCCAUUUCUUAUCCACCCAAAAAAUAUCCUCCCCCUUUCUGUUCUUCAAUGCUAGUUUUGUCCUGACCAAGUGACCAAGACCAAAAGAAAAAACCCAAAACUGAUCUAAAUUCGACAGAGAAAAACCAAAAGCUAGAUCCAGAAAAUCAAACGAUGAAGAUCGGACCAUACCUCUUCUUCUUCUACUCUUCCGCCCUAGUCCUCCUGAUCCUCCUCCGCACCGACGCGGCUCCAGCGAACAGCAGCUGCGGCGGCGGCAGCGACGAUGAGUGCGUAGCGGAGGAAUUCGACGAGUUCCUGAUGGAAUCGGAGGUGAGUAGGCGAAAAUUCCCCGCUGGUAAUCACCCCAUUUGUCUCGGAGCUCUCGAGAAGGGAGGCUUUUGCAAACGCUGUGAUCUACGGCGAUUGCUCGGAAAGCCAACGGAGACAAUCGGCCAUGUACACUGUAUCACUCGAAUGCAACUGCGCCUGGGUUGAAUCGGGGGGGUAGGGGGGGGGGGCAAAAUCGUCUUUCUCUGUUGCUUUCGAUUGGUAUUCAAACUAAUUUAGCUAUUUUGUUUUCGAGUUGUUUCGUGUUUUUGAUGACUUGGAUUUUACUGUUUGAUCAAGAUUCAUUUGGAGAGGAAUUUAAAAGUAUAUUUAUAAAAAAAACUUGUUCUAAAAAAAUAAAUGAUUUUUUUUACAAAAAUUAAAAAUUAAAAAUUUUAAAUUCCUCUUUUCAAUAAUCCUAAAAACAUAUAAAUAAAUUUUGAUAUCUUGAUCGAGCAGUAAAGACGAAAAAACUCGUAAAUUAAAACAGUUAAAUUAGCUUGAUUUAGCUAUUGAAAACUGGGAUUUAGUUCUAUAUUUAUGGAUGACCAUAAAAAGUGCACGUGCUUUCAAUCAUGUGUU
rnacentral:lncRNA from 1 species